CAGGAUGAACGCUGGCGGCGUGCCUAACACAUGCAAGUCGAGCGAUUACUUCGGUAAAGAGCGGCGGACGGGUGAGUAACGCGUGGGUAACCUGCCUCAUACACAUGGAUAACAUACCGAAAGGUAUGCUAAUACAGGAUAAUAUAAGAGAUUCACAUGGAUUUCUUAUCAAAGCUCCGGCGGUAUGAGAUGGACCCGCGUCUGAUUAGCUAGUUGGUAAGGUAAUGGCUUACCAAGGCGACGAUCAGUAGCCGACCUGAGAGGGUGAUCGGCCACAUUGGAACUGAGACACGGUCCAAACUCCUACGGGAGGCAGCAGUGGGGAAUAUUGCACAAUGGGCGAAAGCCUGAUGCAAGCAACGCCGCGUGAGUGAUGAAGGCCUUCGGGUCGUAAAACUCUGUCCUCAAGGAAGAUAAUGACGGUACUUGAGGAGGAAGCCCCGGCUAACUACGUGCCAGCAGCAGC
rnacentral:rRNA from 1 species